rnacentral:rRNA from 1 species
UACGAAGGGGGCUAGCGUUGUUCGGAUUUACUGGGCGUAAAGCGCACGUAGGCGGACUAUUAAGUCAGGGGUGAAAUCCUGGAGCUCAACUCCAGAACUGCCUUUGAUACUGAAGAUCUUGAGUUCGGGAGAGGUGAGUGGAACUGCGAGUGUAGAGGUGAAAUUCGUAGAUAUUCGCAAGAACACCAGUGGCGAAGGCGGCUCACUGGCCCGAUACUGACGCUGAGGAGCGAAAGCGUGGGGAGCGAACAGG